UCGAGCGGCAGCACGGGGAACUUCGGUUCCCUGGUGGCGAGCGGCGGACGGGUGAGUAACGCGUGGGAAUCUACCCUUCGGUGAAGGAUAGCCCGGGGAAACCCGGAUUAAUACUGCAUACGCCCUACGGGGGAAAGCGGGCCUCUGCUGCAAGCUCGCGCCGAGGGAUGAGCCCGCGUCCGAUUAGCUGGUUGGUGGGGUAAAGGCCUACCAAGGCGACGAUCGGUAGCUGGUCUGAGAGGAUGGUCAGCCACACUGGGACUGAGACACGGCCCAGACUCCUACGGGAGGCAGCAGUGGGGAAUAUUGGACAAUGGGCGAAAGCCUGAUCCAGCAAUGCCGCGUGCGUGAAGAAGGCCUGCGGGUUGUAAAGCACUUUCACCGGGGAGGAAAGGCGCUGGGUUAAGAGCCUGGCGUGUUGACGGUACCCGGAGAAGAAGCGCCGGCAAACUUCGUGCCAGCAGCCGCGGUAAUACGAAGGGCGCAAGCGUUAAUCGGAAUCACUGGGCGUAAAGGGCGCGUAGGCGGCCAGGUAAGUCGGGUGUGAAAGCCCUGGGCUCCACCUAGGAAUGGCAUCCGAUACUGCUUGGCUAGAGUCCGGUAGAGGGUAGUGGAAUUCCCGGUGUAGCGGUGGAAAUGCGUAGAUAUCGGGAGGAACACCCGUGGCGAAGGCGACUGCCUGGACCGAGACUGACGCUGAGGCGCGAAAGCGUGGGGUAGCAAAGA
rnacentral:rRNA from 1 species